UGGUGGGUACAUUGUCUCCUCUAGAAAACACGCAUACGUCGGAAUAUUAUAUAUUAGAGUGACGUUGCAAGCGAUGCCGUUAUUAGCUCAGGACUUACCGCUAAACUGACUAGUGCAACCCAUCUUGCUUACGGAUACCAUCGGCAAAAAUGAAGGUUUUCUCAACUAUUAUGGUGUUUCUUGUCUUCGUGACAACUAUUAUGGUUCCAGCGUCCCAGCAACAAACAAAUGAGACCGGCGUAUUGGAUUACAGGAACGGAACUAUCGUGUCUUAUGGAAAAACUUAUUACGUCCCUUCUGGAUACCCACAAGGAUUCGGCUGGUUAGUUAAGCCAAAUGUAAAUAGGGCGUUCAACGAUGCGAUCUUUAAACGUCGGCGAUAGAUCGGUGAUGAGAAAUAUUAGGGCGCGUACAUGCUGAUAUUUACAUAGAGCUCUCGUGAGUAGCCAAUUACAGUAGAAGCAUAAUUAUGAACCUUCGACAACAGAUCGAACAUGCUAUUGAAUGGCCGUUCGAUGUUCCUCGGCUGCAUGAAUAAGUCAAAAAAUGGAAAACCCUACGCCUUAUAUGUCGUACGAAGAGAAACAGGAACAUAAAAAUGUAAAAAUCAAGGAUGAAGUAACAAUAACGAUAUCAUUACAAUCUGCGUGUCGUAUGUGAAUGCUGUAAAAACGACGUUGGAUUAAUUCGGUUUAGAAAUUGGAAAAAAAAUGCCCCUGUGAGCUUUUGUUAUGAGCAGAUCCAUAUGAGCACACUGACAUACACCAGAUACCCCGUCUGUCAUCCACGGGGGGACAUCCCUUACGGUUAAUACAAAAUGAAUCUCUUAUUUCCAGCUUUAAACAUAUGGUAGCAGAACAGCGCUAAAGGCACCAUCUUCUAUCCUACAUAACCUAAUAUGUAGCAUUUUAUUUCACCCUGUACUUAACGUUCUGUCACGGGUUAGGUGUCGUGUUGUGCCCAUCGGAUCAAAACUCUGCUAAAUCUAUGCUGCGAUUUACUUAUAUUUAAUAAGUAUAUGAUCAUUUUAUACCAUUCUGAGGAUAUAAUUAUAUACUAUAAACACCUUUGGCACAAUAUGCUUAUAAACUAUUGUUAACAGGACGUCAAACGAUUGAUAUAUAUAAAAAUUUCUAGCUGAAUAAAAUUCGGUCGAGGUCAUAUCCUUUGUGUA